CCUACGGGUGGCAGCAGUGGGGAAUAUUGCACAAUGGGGGAAACCCUGAUGCAGCGACGCCGCGUGAGUGAAGAAGUAUUUCGGUAUGGAAAGCCCUAUCAGCAGGGAAGAAAAUGACGGUACCUGAUUAAGAAGCCCCGUCUAACUACGGGCCAGCAGCCGCGGUAAUACGGAAGGGGCAAGCGUUAUCCGGAUUUACUGGGUGUAAAGGGAGCGUAGACGGCAGCACAAGUCUGGAGUGAAAUGCCGGGGCUUAACCCCGGAACUGCUGUGGAAACUGUGCAGUUAGAGUGGAGGAGGGGUAAGUGGAAUUCGUGGUGUAGCGGUGAAAUGCGUAGAUAUUAGGAGGAACACCAGUGGCGAAGGCGGCUUACUGGAGUGUAACUGACGUUGAGGCGCGAAAGCGUGGGGAGCAAACAGGAUUAGAUACCCCGGUAGUC
rnacentral:rRNA from 1 species